AGUCCGCUGGUGCAAAAGGCAGUACAUUUGCAGAUGAAUGCAAAUAUGCGGGUUCGAAUCCCGCUUGGGCAA